UGAACGCUAGCGGCGGGCUUAAUACAUGCAAGUCGUGGGGCAGCGCAGUGUAGCAAUACAUUUGAUGGCGACCGGCAAACGGGUGCGGAACACGUACACAACCUUCCUAUAAGUGGGGAAUAGCCCAGAGAAAUUUGGAUUAAUACCCCGUAACAUAAUGAUGUGGCAUCACAUUAUUAUUAUAGCUACGGCGCUUAUUGAUGGGUGUGCGGCUGAUUAGAUAGUUGGCGGGGUAACGGCCCACCAAGUCUACGAUCAGUAGCUGAUGUGAGAGCAUGAUCAGCCACACGGGCACUGAGACACGGGCCCGACUCCUACGGGAGGCAGCAGUAAGGAAUAUUGGUCAAUGGACGCAAGUCUGAACCAGCCAUGCCGCGUGAAGGAUUAAGGUCCUCUGGAUUGUAAACUUCUUUUAUCUGGGACGAAAAAGGCGAUUCUUCGUCACUUGACGGUACCAGAUGAAUAAGCACCGGCUAACUCCGUG
rnacentral:rRNA from 1 species